AGUGAACGCUGGCGGUAGGCCUAACACAUGCAAGUCGAACGGCAGCACAGUAAGAGCUUGCUCUUACGGGUGGCGAGUGGCGGACGGGUGAGGAAUACAUCGGAAUCUACUUUUUCGUGGGGGAUAACGUAGGGAAACUUACGCUAAUACCGCAUACGACCUACGGGUGAAAGCAGGGGAUCUUCGGACCUUGCGCGAUUGAAUGAGCCGAUGUCGGAUUAGCUAGUUGGCGGGGUAAAGGCCCACCAAGGCGACGAUCCGUAGCUGGUCUGAGAGGAUGAUCGGCCACACUGGAACUGAGACACCGUCCAGACUCCUACGGGACGCCGCAGUGGGGAAUAUUGGACAAUGGGCGCAAGCCUUAUCCAGCCAUCCCGCGUGUGUGGAGAAGGCCUUCGGGUUGUAAAGCCCUUUUGUUGGGAAAGAAAAGCAGCAGGUUAAUACCCCGCUGUUCUGACGGUACCCAAAGAAUAAGCACCGGCUAACUUCGUG
rnacentral:rRNA from 1 species